rnacentral:lncRNA from 1 species
CCCAAAAAAACCCCAAAUCAGACCCAGGGCCUUUUUAGCCAAUUUUAAAAUUUUGCCACGGCAGCUCCGCCGUGCUCCGGCGAUGGCGCCGUCACCUACGGCGGCGAUCCGCCUCGGGUUGGCAGUUUUUGGCUUUUUUCGGCUGAAUUCGUCCAAACUUGCAUUGGUUCCUGUGAUAAAACACUCCUAGGGCCCUCGGUGGGCCAAACAAUUCUAGAAAACUGAGACUUACCGGUGGCGAAGCUCUCGGGUAAAGCGACUCCGGUGCGAGUUGCGAUUCGGUGUUUUACUCCGGUCAACUUGUAGAGAAAAGAACGGUGGUCACAGUGAU